GAUGAACGUUAGCGGCAGGCCUAAUACAUGCAAGUCAAGGGCCAGUAAUGGCACCGGCGGACGGGUGCGUAACGCGUACACAACGGUACCUUUGGGUGGGGGAUAGCAUCGGGAAACUGGUGGUAAUACCCCAUGGUAUUGGAGACUGGCAUCAGUUUCAAUUAAAGACUACGCCCAAAGAUCGGUGUGCGUCUGAUUAGCUAGUUGGUAGGGUAACGGCCUACCAAGGCGACGAUCAGUAGGGGAUGUGAGAGCAUGAUCCCCCACACGGGUACUGAGACACGGACCCGACUCCUACGGGAGGCAGCAGUAAGGAAUAUUGGGACCAAUGGUCCGGAAGACUGAUCCAGCCAUGCCGCGUGAAGGAUGAAGG
rnacentral:rRNA from 1 species